UUGGAGGGCAAGUCUGGUGCCCGCCCGGGGCGCGCCCCGGGCGGGGCGGGGGCACGGGGGUUGGAGGGCAAGUCUGGUGCCAGCAGCCGCGGUAAUUCCAGCUCCAAUAGCGUAUAUUAAAGUUGUUGCAGUUAAAAAGCUCGUAGUUGAAUUUCGGGAUCAAUAUUUCGGUCAUGCCGAUGGUAUGCACUGUUAUCAUUGAUUUCUCACCUUCUAAAGAACCGUAAUGCCAUUAAUUUGGUGUUACGGGAAUAGGA
rnacentral:rRNA from 1 species